GGAGAGAAGAGAACCAGCAAACUACAACAGUGAGCAGAUUAAAGGUCUUUUUUGGAAAAGAGAUGUUAUUGUCACGAUCGUUGGAAGCAUACUCGGACCAACGUGCAGUGUGAUCUGGGUUCCACAUCUUUUUUAUUUAAAGCCCAUCCCCCAUGACCAGCCAAGCGACGAAACAAGACCCCAGGACCAACCGUGUGACAUCCUGAAGCAAGGCCCCAAAGACCAGCAGUGCGACAUCCUGAAGCAAGGUCACUGGAGCAACCCAUUGGAAAGAUCAUUCCAUCAUCCAGUCUGUCCUAAAGUUGUCAGGGGCCUCAUUUCUUAUUGUUGUAUACGCAUAAAAUAUGCCCCAAAAUGUGCGUGCGCCAGUUCAUGCAAAAGUUAGCUUUUAUAAAAACUGAACUUGACCUGAGAAUGUGCUUCUCCUCCCGCAAACUUUAGACCAUGUGUUUGCAGUUUCUAGUGGUUGAAGUAUUGCUUGGUAAGAAGGCAAAAGUAGCCUAGUAGUAGCCUUGUCCUUGUGCAAAUUGGGAAUCUAUGAUGAUAAAAAUGUAAUAAACGGGUAGCUAAAUAUAAUAAGAUGCAAUCAUUGGCCAUUAGUGAAAAGAGUGAAAAUUGAAUUAUUUUAUCUGGGCUUAGCUAAAGACACGACAACAGUCAGCUCAGCUAUUCCCAUUGAGACUGUCUGUGCCUCAAUCUAGG